rnacentral:rRNA from 1 species
GUCUACGGCCACCCUGAACAAGUCCGAUCCCGUCUGAUCUCUGAAGCUAAGCAGGGUCUGGCCUGGUCAGUACUUGGAUGGGAGACCGCCUAGGAAGACCAGGUGUAAAAA